AGAGUUUGAUCCUGGCUCAGAACGAACGCUGGCGGCGUGCCUAACACAUGCAAGUCGAACGUGAUUGAGGAGCUUGCUCCUCAUGAAAGUGGCGCACGGGUGAGUAACGCGUAGAUAAUCUACCUGAUGAUCUGGGAUAACACUUCGAAAGGGGUGCUAAUACCUGAUAAGCUCACGGAGUCCUUGGAUUCUGCGAGAAAAGGGGGGGACCUUUAUCGGCCUUCCGUCAUCAGAUGAGUCUGCGUACCAUUAGCUAGUUGGUAGGGUAAAGGCCUACCAAGGCGACGAUGGUUAGCUGGUCUGAGAGGAUGAUCAGCCACACUGGAACUGAGACACGGUCCAGACUCCUACGGGAGGCAGCAGUGGGGAAUUUUGCGCAAUGGGGGAAACCCUGACGCAGCAACGCCGCGUGAGUGAUGAAGGCCCUUGGGUCGUAAAGCUCUGACAGAGGGAAAGAAAUGUAGAGGGGCUAAUAUCCCCAUUACUUGACGGUACCCUCAAAGGAAGCACCGGCUAACUCCGUGCCAGCAGCCGCGGUAAUACGUAGGGGGCUAGCGUUGUCCGGAUUUACUAGGUGUAAAGGGCGCGUAGGCGGACUUGUCAGUCAGAGGUGAAACCCUGCAGCUUAACUGCAGAACUGCCUUUGAUACUGCAAGCCUUGAGUCUAGAAGAGAGAAGCGGAAUUCCAGGUGUAGUGGUGAAAUACGUAGAUAUCUGGAAGAACACCAGUUGCGAAGGCGGCUUCUUGGUCUAGAACUGACGCUGAGGCGCGAAAGCGUGGGUAGCAAACAGGAUUAGAUACCCUGGUAGUCC
rnacentral:rRNA from 1 species